CCAGGGGGGUGGAUAGCAUUUCUUUAUUACUCCAGGGGCUGAUAUACUUGAGGAAUCCAAACCCUUUUCCUCAUCAUCUUCAUCAUCAUCAUCAUCAUCGUACUGUUUUGGGUAGAGUGGACAGAAAACAAGAGUGAAAUUAGUCUUCUUAACACCACCACCAACAAGAUUUUCAUCAACCGAUCACCAAUUUUGAUAUUCAUAUGGUGUUUAUAUUAUCUUUUGAGGGUUUCUGAUCAAAUGGCAUCCGCCUUUCUUUCAAGAACACUUUUUGCUCAUCGUUUCGUUCCCUCUUUCUCAACCAAUCAAAAAUUAGCUUCCUUUUUCUUUAAGAAACCCCUUCAGUCGUGGGCUAGCCCAACCCAUACAGCAUACAGGAGGACUACCUUGGUUCGCGGCGAUAUGGCUACACGCGUGGCUGGAUCCACUGCUUCUUUUUCAACACGGUCUUUGUCAACUGGUGAGCCUGUUGUCUCGGUUGACUGGCUCCAUGCCAAUUUGCGCGAGCCUGAUUUGAAGGUGCUGGAUGCAUCCUGGUACAUGCCUGAUGAACAGAGAAAUCCACUCCAGGAGUACCAGGUUGCCCACAUUCCUGGUGCUCUUUUCUUUGAUGUAGAUGGGAUAUCUGAUCGAACGACUAAUCUGCCACACAUGUUGCCAUCUGAGGAAGCAUUUGCCGCUGCUGUUUCUGCUCUUGGUAUUGAAAACAAAGAUGGAGUUGUUGUUUAUGAUGGUAAAGGGAUCUUCAGCGCUGCUCGUGUCUGGUGGAUGUUCCGAGUUUUUGGGCAUGAUAGAGUAUGGGUAUUAGAUGGAGGGCUUCCCAGAUGGCGUGCUUCGGGAUUCGAUGUUGAAUCAAGUGCUUCUGGUGAUCAAAUUUUGAAAGCCAGUGCUGCCAGCGAGGCAAUAGAGAAAGUGUACCAAGGCCAGCCUGUUGGUCCAGUUACAUUUCAAACUAAAUAUCAGCCGCAUCUUGUAUGGACACUUGAACAGGUUAAAAAGAACACAGACGACCAAACACAUCAACACAUAGAUGCCCGGUCAAAAGCCAGGUUUGAUGGUGUCGCAGCUGAGCCUCGUAAAGGAAUAAGAAGUGGCCAUGUACCUGGGAGUACGUGCAUUCCGUUUGCCCAGAUGUUAGACAGCUCACAGACACUGCUAUCCGCAGAUCAGCUCAAGAACAAGUUUGAACAAGAGGGAAUCGCAUUGGACAAACCUGUCAUGGCUUCAUGUGGGACAGGAGUUACUGCAUGCAUUCUUGCAUUGGGACUUCAUCGACUUGGGAAGACAGAUGUUCCGGUUUAUGAUGGAUCUUGGACAGAAUGGGGAGCACACGAAGACACACCAGUUGCCACUUCACCUUCAGCUCAAAGUUCUUGACAUUAAUGAAUGUUUUAACUUUUAAUGUGGUGGUGAUUUCAACUUGAAAGAUUUUCUGUUUUGGUUAAACAUGUUUUUGCCUAUGUGGUUAAACAAGGAAUCAAGUAUCAAUUCGGUUAAGGUUGUGUGUUUAAGA